AGAGUUUGAUCAUGGCUCAGAUUGAACGCUGGCGGCAUGGCUAAGACAUGCAAGUCGAGCGCGAAAGUCCCUUCGGGGGCGAGUAGAGCGGCGAAAGGGCGAGGAAUGCAUUCCUACGUACCCCGAGGUCGGGGAUAGCCCGGGGAAACCCGGAGUAAUACCCGAUGUGGUCUACGGAUCAAAGGUUUACUGCCUUGGGAGCGGGGAAUGUCUUAUCAGGUUGUUGGUGAGGUAACGGCUCACCAAGCCUAAGACGGGUAGCGGGUGUGAGAGCAUGACCCGCCGCAUCGGGACUGAGACACUGCCCGGACUCCUACGGGAGGCUGCAGUAACGAAUAUUCCGCAAUGCGCGAAAGCGUGACGGAGCAAUGCCGCGUGCAGGAUGAAGCCCCUCGGGGUGUAAACUGCUGUCAGGGUACAGGAACUCAAUGACCAUACCCAAAGGAAGGGCCGGCUAACUUCGUGCCAGCAGCCGCGGUAAUACGAAGGGCCCGAGCGUUAAUCAGAAUCACUGGGCUUAAAGCGUACGUAGGCGGACGCGAAGGCAUCUUGUGAAAUCCCUCGGCUCAACCGAGGAACUGCAGGGUGAACCGUGUGUCUUGAGACAAGUAGGGGCUGCCGGAACGCUAGGUGGAGUGGUGAAAUGCGUUGAUAUCUAGCGGAACGCCGAACGAGAAAUCAGGCAGCUGGGCUUGUUCUGACGCUGAGGUACGAAAGCGUGGGGAGCGAACGGGAUUAGAUACCCCGGUAGUCCACGCCGUAAACGAUGUGCACUAGAUCGAGGGGGUUCUGACACCACUCUCGGUCGAAGCGAAAGUGUUAAGUGCACCGCCUGGGGAGUACGGUCGCAAGGCUAAACUCAAAUGAAUUGACGG
rnacentral:rRNA from 1 species